GAAUUGCGUGAGGGAUAGUAGGCGGUAUCCUCGCAGCGUAGCGGAGAGAUAAAGCCGUAUAGCCCGACUCUUG
rnacentral:sRNA from 1 species